CAUGAUCCUUCAGAAAUCAUUUCAAUUUGCUGAUAUGAUGCUUAAGAAAGGCUUCCUAUUAUUAUUAAUGUUGAAAACUCUGGUUAAUU